CGUGUAGGCGGGUUAAUAAGUCAGAUGUGAAAUUCCAUGGCUCAACUGUGGCGCUGCAUCUGAAACUAUUAAUCUUGAGUGAUGGAGAGGAAAGCGGAAUUCCUAGUGUAGCGGUGAAAUGCGUAGAUAUUAGGAGGAACACCAGUGGCGAAGGCGGCUUUCUGGACAUUAACUGACGCUGAGGCGCGAAAGCGUGGGGAGCAAACAGGAUUAGAUACCCUGGUAGUCCACGCUGUAAACGAUGGAUACUAGGUGUAGGAGGUAUCGACCCCUUCUGUGCCGGAGUUAACACAAUAAGUAUCCCACCUGGGGAGUACGGCCGCAAGGUUGAA
rnacentral:rRNA from 1 species